GACGAACGCUGGCGGCGUGCUUAACACAUGCAAGUCGAACGGAAAGGCCCUGCUUUUGUGGGGUGCUCGAGUGGCGAACGGGUGAGUAACACGUGAGUAACCUGCCCUUGACUUUGGGAUAACUUCAGGAAACUGGGGCUAAUACCGGAUAGGAGCUCCUGCUGCAUGGUGGGGGUUGGAAAGUUUCGGCGGUUGGGGAUGGACUCGCGGCUUAUCAGCUUGUUGGUGGGGUAGUGGCCUACCAAGGCUUUGACGGGUAGCCGGCCUGAGAGGGUGACCGGCCACAUUGGGACUGAGAUGCGGCCCAGACUCCUACGGGAGGCAGCAGUGGGGAAUAUUGCACAAUGGGCGGAAGCCUGAUGCAGCAACGCCGCGUGCGGGAUGACGGCCUUCGGGUUGUAAACCGCUUUCGCCUGUGACGAAGCGUGAGUGACGGUAAUGGGUAAAGAAGCACCGGCUAACUACGUG
rnacentral:rRNA from 1 species